GACGGAAACAGCAUCGUUUAUUUUCUGAUGUCAUUCCAGGGGGGAAAAGGUGUUUUAAAAGAAUUUUGCUUCUCUCGUUGUAUGUGCAGUUGACAAAGUCACAUUUAAAAAGCAGAGCACUGCCACAACAUCCAGGCUGUUGCCAGCUUUCUCCUGUUAACAUUCAGGAAGAAAGCAAUCUCUAUUGCAUUACUGAAAGUGGUAGCCAAGUACACUGGUAGCCAGUUUUGCUUAAAAUUGACAAAGAAGCCAUCACAAGCUGCCUCCCAAACAGACAUGAACCGGAAUCUCUUGGGAAGAAGGGUGACAAGGCUGAGGAACAGGGAUAAAAACGAGGCUGUGAUUUCCCUGGAGACAGGAGGAAGGACUGCUCCCUGCAACCAGCCCUUUGGCUUUUCCCAGUUCCUUCAGAGCCCUGCCUCGCUCCAGGUGCCCCACUGACAGCAGUUAAACACCCAAACCAGCUACUGGUGGGAGGAGAACAGCACAGGCCACAUUUUACAGUAAAAUAAUAAUCCGGUGCAAUGGAAGAGCUUCUUAACCAGAGCAAGCCAAGGGAAACGUGGGAAAUGGGAAUGUCACCACCACGGAUGUGACCAACUAUGCAAGAAUCAAGCCACAAGAAGCUGAAAUCCUGAAUCAGCACAGGUAGGACGAGGCUGGGUUUGCUCCUGGUGCUUUGGGAGUCCAUUUGAAACUAGUUCUAGCAUCAGAAUUAGUUAUAGGUAAAGGAUUUGACAUGAGGGAUACACACAUGUGCUUUUAGUUCCAGCACUCUUGAUUUUCCAGAGCAAAGGCAGUGCUCUUGCCUCUCUGUCAGACUCUAAUGUUGCUGUAAUGCCAGAGCCAGAAGUUCCAUUCAUCUGGGAGAAACAGUGAAGUCCAUGGAACAGCUGGAGAAUUUCCCCAUGGCCUGCAUUAGUUACCUGUUCCACUCUUAGAGUGAGAGAUGCAAGGUGGGCGAGCAAUUGCUUUGGCUCCAACCCUGAAAACACCCAAACAGCUCAUACGAACACAGUUGUCUCCCAUUGUUCCAGAUAUCCGGGCUCUUCUCCUGCAAUGCCUGGUGCUUCCAAAGCAGUCAUUAAAAAAGGAUUAGAAGGAACUGCUGUGAGUGUUGUUCUUGGCCGCACAGAUUCCAUCAGCCUUAAAAGCUUGGUGAGAGGGAAAGCAGCGCCAAGUCUUUGCUGAGGAAAAGGCUGUGGAUGGUGCAUGGAUGGCUGUGCCCGAGGGGGAAACUGCACUUCCACCACCAACCAUGCUCCCCCAGCCCAAGCCUGGAGCAGUUUGUGUUGCUCCCCACCUGGGGACUGGAAGCUCCUUCACGUUAGGUCACAUGAGCUGCUUGGCUGAGAUAGCUCCAAUCACCACAGGAUCCAACAGCCCUCCCGAUCCUUCUUUGGGCAGCAGAUCUGUCAGAGGUAACCUCCAUGGUGGGGAUGGGGUCUUCAAUCAGCACAGCUGGAUCCAAAAGCAAACAUCUGUCCACACCACAAGUCCUGCCAGCUGCAGACACUGCCCACGGGCAAUGGAGUAUGUGACACCUAUUCUCAUUUUGUUGCCACCUAGACAAGAACAUGAACUUCCCUACCCAACCCAAUAACUGGAUCACUGGUGCCUUUGUUGCACAUCUACUCUCUGGAAUAAUGGAUGAAGAUGAGGGACAAAGGUGGUAUUUUUGGUGUGUCACAGAAGAUGCACAAUCUUCUUCCAGCUCCUGAACUCCAUCCUCACUUCUCAAUCCUAAGAAACAUCCCUCCAGAGUCCCCAAGCCUUGUAGUGUCACCUCCCCUUGCAGGAGAUGGUGACACACAGCCCUUACCCAAGUGCUGGGUAUGACAGAGCCCUUAACAGAGAACAUCCAGCGAUCCCAAAGAGUAGAACCUCAGUAGAAAGAGUUCUUGGAAUUGAAGACAAUCAGUUAUGCCUUUCUACAACAAAGUUCAUCCCAUUAAAAAAGGUGACUGGAUUUAAUAGUCAUUUCUGAAGUUACAAAUAAGUUAAAAAUUAAUUUAAAAUAAGCUAGUAUUUGAAUAAAUAUCUUUCAGUAAGAGCUUAAAUACGUACAUGCCUUUUCUUAAAGUUUUCAAGUUAACUUGUGUUUUAAUGAAGCGAGUUCUAUAAUACUGCCAUAAAAUUCUGUGCCUUCAGGAAAUAAAAUAUUGCUUUUCUUAGCCCUUUAUGAUUCGGCUCCCAUCCACUUGGAUGAGAUAGAUCGGAUCUACUCAUUAUUGCUCAUAAACCUGAGGAAAGAGGAACAGUAGUCUUCCAGAAAGAUGCUGCUUACUGGAGUCGGGUUCCCUUCUCAAAACCCAUUUUGACUUGUAUCUCAGUGGGUUAAAAGCAAUCCAACCCAUUUCCUAGUAGCAUCCUGUCAGAUCAGAAGAGAUUUUAGGUUUGACCCUGGAACUGAUUUUUGAAACAUCCUCUCUGUAUAAAGGAAUUUCCAGUUUAAGUCCUUGCACCUGAAGUGCCCAUUUCACACUCUGAUAUGUAACCAGUACCCUGGGCACCCAGGAAACUAGAUUCGUUUUGCUACAGAUGAAUAGUCCUACAGAGCAAACAGAUAAGGCAACAUCAGCCUCCUCUACAUACGAAAAGGACUGACUGGAAAGAGCCCUUUCAAGUGGAGUAACACAGAUUCAUGCAAACUCACAUUCAUUCAAAACCCAUUUGUGAAAAAGACUACUGAGAAGUAGGCAUCUGAUAUAAAAAUUUCUAAGUCUGCCAUAUGAGUGCUAAAGUUUGAUGUUCACAGUAGCUCCCAGAAGCCUCUCUGUGUCCAAAUGGCUGCUCCCUGUGGUCAGGCAAACGACUGCCUCCAGGCUCAGCCCCUGGAGGCUCUUUGGUUUGGUGCACAGAGCAGCUCUGGCAGAGCAGGAAGCCCUGGGUGACUUUUCCUUGCUGCUGCAGCUUCAGCCC
ensembl:lncRNA